GACGAACGCUGGCGGCGUGCUUAACACAUGCAAGUCGAACGGUAAGGCCCUUCGGGGUACACGAGUGGCGAACGGGUGAGUAACACGUGGGUGAUCUGCCCUGCACUUCGGGAUAAGCCUGGGAAACUGGGUCUAAUACCGGAUAGGACCACUGCCUGCAUGGGUGGUGGUGGAAAGCUUUUGCGGUUUGGGAUGGGCCCGCGGCCUAUCAGCUUGUUGGUGGGGUGUUGGCCUACCAAGGCGACGACGGGUAGCCGGCCUGAGAGGGGAACCGGCCACACUGGGACUGAGAGACGGCCAAGAGUCCUACGGGGGGAAGCAGCGGGGAAUAUUGCACAAUGGGCGCAAGCCUGAUGCAGCGACGCCGCGGAAGGGAUGACGGCCUUCGGGUUGUAAACCUCUUUCCGCACCGACGAAGCGCAAGUGACGGUAGGUGCAGAAGAAGGACCGGCCAACUACUUGCCAGCCGCGGCGGUAA
rnacentral:rRNA from 1 species